rnacentral:RNase_P_RNA from 1 species
CAAAAUUUUCGGGAGGAAAGUCCGGACAGCAUCGGGUCAGAAUGCCAGUUAAUGGCUGGGCGGAGUAAUCCGACGGAAAGUGCAACAGAAAAUAUACCGCUGAAAAUUCAGUAAGGGUGAAAUGGCGGAGUAAGAGACCACCGCUUGAUUAGUAAUAAUCAAGGCAAGGCAAACCCCAUUCGCUGCAAGACCAAACAGAAACGCUACUUGACCCAGUAAUUAAGUUUCGGGUAGGUUGCUAAAAUUUAAUAGUGAUAUUAAAUGUAGAGGAAUGAUUACCGAUAAAUAAUUUAUAUUUUUAUAUUUUUAUAUUUUUAUAUUUUAUUUAUUACAGAAUCCGGCUUAUAGAAGAACUU